CCUCUCCUUACUAUCUUGAAGAAAACGCUCGAAAGAAAAGCCAGAGCAUGGACAUAGAAAGAUAUUCUAACUGGUGGAAGCUAAAGAGCACCUCAAAACGUGAUAGUCUUAACCAGAUUCUACAACUCCAAUCUCAUAAUUUUCCUAAAGAAUUGAUUGGGGGUUCACAAUUGAAACUACUUAUGCAAAUAUUGACUUGGUAUUCAAGACAAUAUGUGCUAUACUUUCGCUUUCUUUGCUGGUUCAGUCUAAUUGAAUAGUGAAUCUCAGAUUUAAGGAGAGGUCAGCGACGCGCCAAAAAGAUGCAAUGGAAUCGAGACUCAGGCUUGGAGAAAUUAGAUAUGUUCAAGAAAUUUGAACAGGGUUUUGAGGAUCAAGACAAAGAAGGAAAGGAAAAGAAAGGUGAUGGAGAAGAAGACAAUACAGAGGAAGAACCAGGAGAACUGUCUGAUGAAUCGUACAGUGAUGAUGGAGAUUAUAAUGAGGGCAGCAUGAAGUUUUAGAUGCUAAGUCACAUGAUAUCAGCAUAUGUUAUUCCCUUUUAGUUUUAUGUAAUAGGCAAUAUCCGGAUUGGAGAAAGUUUGAAAGGAUCCAUUAAACCUUAAAUGAAAAGAAUAGUUUUAUUUAUUGGAAUUCAAGCUGAUGCUUCUCAUAAAGAAACAAAAACAAGAGUCGUAUGUUGGUUUGGAAUUUUUAAAAAUAAUGUUGCCAAUAAUGUUUACAAUC